rnacentral:rRNA from 1 species
CCCUUAGAUGUUCUGGGCCGCACGCGCGCUACACUGACGAAUGCAACGAGCUUAUAACCUUGGCCGAAAGGUCUGGGUAAUCUCCAAAUUUCGUCGUGAUGGGGAUAGAUUAUUGCAAUUAUUAAUCUUCAACGAGGAAUGCCUAGUAAGCGCAAGUCAUCAGCUUGCGUUGAUUACGUCCCUGCCCUUUGUACACACCGCCCGUCGCUCCUACCGAUUGAAUGGUCCGGUGAAGCGCUCGGACCGCGGCCUCUUGACGGUUCGCUGUCGAUUGGCUGUGGGAAGUUCGUUAAACCUUAUCAUUUAGAGGAAGGAGAAGUCGGAACA